GGCUAACUUCGUGCCAGCAGCCGCGGUAAUACGAAGGGUGCAAGCGUUGUUCGGAUUUACUGGGCGUAAAGCGUCCGUAGGUGGUUUGUUAAGUCAGGGGUGAAAUCCCAGGGCCCAACCCUGGAACUGCCUUUGAUACUGGCAAGCUGGAGCGUGAUAGAGGAAGAUGGAACAUCUGGUGUAGGGGUGAAAUCCGUAGAUAUCAGAUAGAACACCAAUGGCGAAGGCAGUCUUCUGGAUCAUUGCUGACACUGAGGGACGAAAGCGUGGGUAGCAAACAGAAUUAGAUACUCUGGUAGUCCACGCCCUAAACGAUGUGUGCUUGUUGUUGGUUCCCUUCGGGGUAUCAGUGACGUAGCUAACGCGUUAAGCACACCGCCUGGGGAGUACGAUCGCAAGAUUAAAACUUAAAGGAAUUGACGGGGACCCGCACAAGCGGUGGAGUAUGUUGUUUAAUUCGAUGCUACGCGAGAAACCUUACCGACCCUUGACAUCCCGCACGCGACUUCCAGAGAUGGUUGUCUUCUAUUCGGUAGGUGCGGAGACAGAUGCUGCAUGGCUGUCGUCAGCUCGUGUCGUGAGAUGUUAGGUUAAGUCCUGCAACGAGCGCAACCCACGCCCUAUGUUGCCAGCGGGUAAUGCCGGGAACUCUUAGGGGACCGCUCGCGUCAAGCGAGAGGAAGGUGUGGAUGACGUCAAGUCAUCAUGGUUCUUACGGGUCGGGCUACAAACGUACUACAAUGGCGUCAACAAUGGGUCGCAAUGUCGCAAGGCAAAGCCAAUCCUUAAAAGACGCCUCAGUUCAGAUUGCCCUCUGCAACUCGAGGACAUGAAGUUGGAAUCGCUAGUAAUCGCUGAUCAGAAUGCAGCGGUGAAUACGUUCCCGGGUCUUGUACACACCGCCUGUCAAACCAUGAGAGUCGAUUUCACCCGAAGUCGGUAGUUUAACGCAAGAGAACGCCGCCUACGGUGGGGUUGGUGAUUGGGGUUAAGUCAUAACAAGGUAGCAGUACCGGAAGGUGCGGCUG
rnacentral:rRNA from 1 species